GCUUGAUAUCUUCUCCAAUCAGAAGGGGAAAAAAAGGAACUCUUAUGUUGGAGGAUAGAGUACUGCUGCAACAUGCUCUUUAGGAGGCUGGCAUGCAGGAAGUUCUCCAGGGAGUGCUGUUGGCAGCAACAUCUGUGACACAGAAGGAAGAGAACCACCUUGGCAGAAAGAAGGAGAGGUGGAUGAUGAAGCCACCUCAAUCAAAAUCUUGGCUGCCCAAACAGGAACUCUGGAGACUGGCAAGGUUGAAUAAUUCUCCAUGGUCAUACAGGCCACACCUUAUGCUGUAUCAAACCCUAGCACCGUGGAUCCUUAGAGACUGGGGCAGGAUGGAGCAUGCCUAGAAGCUUGGCCACUCAAAGCCAUGCCCAGUGAGGAAUUCUCAAAAGAAUUCUAGGUGUGUCACUGGAGCACACAAGAGCUGCCUUCAGAAGUCAGAGAGUCCUCUGGGAGAUUCAAAGGACUGGAACUUGAACUGAGUGUCAAGAACUUCAGGACAAAAGGGUUCGAAGAUCAGGAUAAGCAAGAUCCUCCAGGAAGCUUCUCGAGAGAGUUUCCUUUCCCUGGAUCAAUGCUGACUCUUCAGUUACUGAUGGAACUAGAAUUUGGGGGUCCCUAAUAGUCAAAUAGACUAUUAUCUUUUUACAGCUUCAGAUUUAUUUUUAAAAAUAUCUCCACAUUGCUUUAUGUGCGGGAGAUACAUUCUUUGUGGUUAAAAGAGCUUCUGCUGGGAAGGAGAAUAUGAAUGUGAAAAGAUAAUUGCUGCAUGGUAUUAGAAGUGCCACACUAAAGGAUGUCUCCGACAGCACAAAAGAGGGAGUGACGACUGCUGCAGAAGUGGGAGAAGGUUUUCUAUAAAGGAGGUGGGUUUUAAGAUCCAUCUUAUAUAAUCAGGCCAAUGUGUUCACUUGGGAGAAAUAAUGUUUGCAGAACACUAUUUGUGUUCACAUGGCAGGAAGCAUUUAAGAUCAGAGUUGGUAUCAUUUUAGAAGAACUUGAGAUCUUUGUGCCUUUAAUUAUGGGAGAAACUACCAGAGAUGAGUAGUGGAUGAGUGAAAAGAAGACUCCCCCAUUGUUCUAAAAAGUUGUGAAAUGUCACAUGAGGUGGCUAGACAUUGAGGCCACUGAAGAAAUAAGGAAGUUGGCCACGGGGAACAAGGGAGGGGCAGGUAAUUGUGGGAGAAUUGAUACCGGGUUCAUGAAGAUACAAGAUCAAGUGAGAAUGGCUCACAGAUACCAGCUGGCAUGGCUGAGUAGUUGAUGAGAAUGGGGCAGAGCAGGAGGUAAUCGAGAGCUGGACUUUGGUUGUGGUGAUUUACAGAUAUGCCUGGAGCUUCAAGUUGGAAUGGUCUGAUGAAAUGAAGUCCAGAAGAGAGAGGCUGCAAUAUAUUAUCACAAGAGGCUGUCAAGAUGCCUUCUCAGGAAUGUCUUCCUUACUUUAAGAACAUUUUCCAAAUAAGCCCGGUGUGGCAGCACAUGUUUGUAAUCCCAAAACUCCGAAAGCAGAGGCAAGCAGAUCACUGUGAGUUCUAGGCCAGAGUAUAUAUCCAGAUGCUGCCUCAAAACAAUUAAAAUGAAAUUUCCAAAACAUAUAACAGCCUAGGAAACAAUCCUGCUGUUAAUAUCAAGUUUCAAUAUUGAUUACCAACUAUGACUCAACUAUCCCUCUGUUGCUUACCUAGUUUAUCAUUUUAAAUACAAUAUGUUUUUACUUUGUAUACAAUAUUUUAAAUAAUUUUUUGAGAUUUUCAUAUAUGUGUACAGAGUAUUUUGAUCAUAUUCAUCCCACACUCUUCCCCCAAAUCCUUCCUAAGCCCCUCCCCACCUCUUCACUCCCCUCCCAAUUUUAUGUCUGCCCUAGUUAAUGUUUAUACUGCAAUAAAACACCAUGACCAAAAGCAGCUCGGGCAGGAAAAGGUUUAUUUUAUUUUUCAACUCAGAGGUCAUACUCCUUCACCUAGAGCAGUCAGGGGAGGAACUCAAAGGAGGAACCUGGAUGCAGAAACUAAAGCAAAAGCCAUGGAGAAAUGCUGCUUACUGGCUU
rnacentral:lncRNA from 1 species